UCUUUGUGUUCUUUUAUAGGAUCAAUAGCCGAGCUUACAUGUAGCGAUUGAGGCUGUUUCUGCUUUUGGGAAAGCAAGCGGAGCAGAGGCUUCAGUUGCCGCUGAUUUUGGGCUGAGAGAAACGAGUUCAGUUGACGCGUUUGGAUUAUGGUUUCGCGUGUCAAGAAACCGAAUGAAGAAGCGUUAAGAAGAGU